UACGUACGAGGCGAGCGUUAUCCGGAAUUACUGGGCGUAAAGCGCGCGCAGGCGGAGUGGCAAGUGAGGCGUGAAAUCUCCCCGGCCUAACUGGGGAGGGGUCGCUUCAGACUACCAGUCUUGAGGACUGCGAGAGGUGGGUGGAAUUCCUGGUGAUAGUGGUGAAAUGCGUAGAGAUCAGGAGGAACGACCGGUGGCGAA
rnacentral:rRNA from 1 species